CAUACAUUUCUAUCCCAAAAUAAAUGUGACUUUUACAAGUGGUCUCUGGGUGACAGUGAAGGUUCAAUCACAGGCUCAUAGACGUCACUGAACAGAUCACAGCAUAUUCUCUCCUACUGUGCGGCUCUCACUGUGCAUGACUGCCAAGUGCCGUGGAGUUUGAACUCUUAACUGGGCCAGCAGGAGCCGAAAGAUGCAGACAGAUCCAAAGGUUCCAGUCCCUCUCUGUAGGAGUCAAAUCAAUGAGAUGAGGCUGAAUCAAUGAGAUGUCAGUGUUGUCUUAUCAUUGCCUGUUGCAGCUUGAUGAUGAUCUCACAGCUGCAGGUUAUAAUUUGACCAGACAAAAUAAUGGGGAGAAAAAACUUUAGAGAAGACAAAGCUGAGAAAUGAAAACCAACAUCGUUCUGACCGAGAGAAGAUGGUUGCUCACCUCCGAUUUUCCGGAAACCCAUUUCCAAUCUACUAAUCCUGCUCUCGCACAGUAUGAGUCAUCUAACACACGGAGCAGCGCAGCUCCAACUGCAUUCUCUACAGGGCAAGAAGGGCAGGAGUCCGCAUUUAAUUUAGAAUUUCUUGCUGAAAAACUGCUGAUGUAUAUUUCCACCUCCUUACCUCUGCUUUCACCUUCUCAGGUUUAUGAUUCAUACUUCCUGUAAUUUCAGGCUAGGUUUUUGCAUGC